AAUAUGCAAGUGAGCUAAACACAGCUUUCUUACACACUGCCACGUUUCUGCUUACUCUUAAGAUCUGCUCACUUUCCUCCAAAACUCUUUUAGACUGGAGGCUGAUCUUUGCGGACUUCUGAUCCUGGAAGGAAAGUGCCCAUUUUAUCUUGACUCUAUUUCUUUCACUUAUACUUGUGGAGCAGGACAGAAAUCUGUAAUGGUGAUGAUGGCCGUGUGUUUUGAGGUGUGCACAGUGAAGAAUUAUCCCAUGUUUGCCUGAGGGAAAAUUGAGACUUUUGAACUUUGGAGCUUCCAAAACGGCGCAAUGGCACUGGAGAAAUGUGAGGAAGGGUGAAACCCGAUUCUCAGCUUGGACACGGUGACGGUGUGGGGCGUGAGAAAAAUGAAGAGAAGCCAAUGGAAGGAGGUUGUCACACCAGACCCCAGGCUUGCUGCUGAGGCUACACGAAGCAGGCUGAGUGAAUCAGAAAAUUUCUUACCUCUGGAGGGCCGUAAGACAAUGCAUAUCACCAGUAAAGCAAGCGCAGUCAAAGUGGCAACUCCGAAGACAGUUUUCAGCCAUGUCUACAUAGAAUACAGAAAAUUCGACACGGGCUUAGUUCCUACUAAGGAAUGGUAUCUCCAUGUGUCUUGAUCGUGAGGCCUCAGUCCAAGAUAAAACCACCAGCCUGGUGUCAAGUGAAUGGCCCUCAAGAGGAUCUUCUCAGAUUGGUUGUUUUCUUUGGAACAUCCAACUAAUACUUUCUCAGAAAUUCUGUCCCAGCCUGCCAAACCCCCACAAGUCAACAAGUACUUUGUACUGAGUGAUUCCCAAGACCUCCUUUUCUCGACAGAAACUGUCUGCAAUAAAUGAUGAAGGUAUAAUUAAAAUGCAUCCUGCUAGCUUUAGCAAUUAAAGACACUGUCACAUGACUGGGAAGAGUAGCACUGUGGACUCUAGAAAUGAGUGGAGGAUUUACCCUUAGGACUCUCAGAGACUCACUGGAAGACAUCAGAGAGCCUUAAAGAAGAAACAGUUAAGUUGGAAGCGUUGGUGUGUGGAAAAAUGAUAAAGAUGAAUACACAUUCUAUUUUUGUUUGUGGUUUCCUUAGGAAGUUAGUUGAAUCAGACCAUAACAUCUGGAAACUUAUUAACUGUUUGAACUGUUUAAAGUAGAAUAUAACUGAGUACAGAAAUAAAGAUGGGCUCUUGCACCUAAUUUCAUAAGUUAGGAAUAAAUUUCUCAUAGCAGAAUUACAGAUAGGUAUGUGAUCUAGCUUGUAUCUAGACAACGGUUUUCAAAUACUUGGACUUUUAACCA